UACGAAGGGGGCUAGCGUUGUUCGGAAUCAUUGGGCUUAAAGCGCGCGUAGGCGGCCUUGUAAGUGUCUUGUGAAAUCCCACGGCUCACCCGUGGAACUGCAGGGCAAACUGCAAGACUUGAGGUCGGUAGAGGCGCCUGGAACUCUAGGUGGAGCGGUGAAAUGCGUAGAUAUCUAGGGGAACGCCGGAGGCGAAAGCGGGGCGCUGGGCCGAUUCUGACGCUGAUGCGCGAAAGCGUGGGGAGCAAACAGG
rnacentral:rRNA from 1 species